AUACGGAGGGUGCAAGCGUUAUCCGGAUUUAUUGGGUUUAAAGGGUGCGCAGGCGGACCUGUCAGUCAGUGGUGAAAUCCCGGGGCUCAACCCCGGAACUGCCAUUGAUACUACAGGUCUUGAAUACGGUUGAAGUAGGCGGAAUGUAGCAUGUAGCGGUGAAAUGCAUAGAUAUGCUACAGAACACCGAUCGCGAAGGCAGCUUACUAAGCCGAUAUUGACGCUCAGGCACGAAAGCGUGGGGAGCGAACAGGAUUAGAAACCCGGGUAGUCC
rnacentral:rRNA from 1 species